AGCCAACAACAUGACCUUCCUAUGAGAAAGUAAGAGAAGAGAGCCUGGACACAAUGGAAUUGAGAUUUCAUCACCACGAAGGCUUGGAAUAAAACCUGAUCUCUCAUAUGACUCUGAGACAAAUGAAAGAGCUAUGCCCCAAAGAGAUAAGCAUGUGGCAGCUUUUAUACCAGAAAUAUGCACAGCUAAGCCUACCAGCUCCCAGUCAUUGGUGAAAUGCAUAGUGCCCACUUUGAAUCAGAAUGUAAAAAAGUGACUGCUGUCUCUGAUUCAGGAUGCCCUACCCUGAUGUUCAGUUCCAUCAUCAGACCAUGGCCUCUUGAAAAUGUUACGGCUACUCAAAGAGCUUCAAGAGACUUCUUGGGAGACUUGAAAUCUGCAUGGAAGGACUCCAGCCUGUGAUGUUACAGCUCUUGUUUGCUCCCUGUAAAAUGACAUCAGCCAGAGGUCACAGUGCUCAGUGGGGAUCCACCACAUGAGGAUCUAUUUGCACAGUCUAAAAAUGCUAGAUCCUCCUCUAGAAGUCUUUACAGACUAAAAAG
rnacentral:lncRNA from 1 species